UGGAUAUAAAUACAAAAGAGAAGUAAGAAUAAAGAAUCCUUCCUUUUAAAAAGGAAGAAGAAUAAAAUAUCUGGUUGAUCCUGCCAGUAUUAUAUGCUGAUGUUAAAGAUUAAGCCAUGCAUGUGUAAGUAUAAAGACCAAGUAGGAUGAAACUGCGGACGGCUCAUUAUAACAGUAAUAGUUUCUUUGGUUAGUAAAGUACAAGGAUAGCUUUGUGAAUGAUAAAGAUAAUACUUGAGACGAUCCAAUUUGUAUUAGUACAAAGUGGCCAAUUUAUGUAAGUAAAUUGAGAAAUGACAUUCUAAGUGAGUUAGGAUGCCACGACAAUUGUAGAACACACAGUGUUUAACAUGUAACCAAUGAGAAUUUCUGAUCUAUCAAUCAGUUGGUAGUAUCGAGGACUACCAAGAUUAUAACGGAUAACGAGGAAUUGGGGUUCGACAUCGGAGAGGGAGCUUUACAGAUGGCUACCACUUCUAAGGAAGGCAGCAGGCGCGUAAAUUACCCACUUUCGAAUUGAAGAGGUAGUGACGAC
rnacentral:rRNA from 1 species